AGCUCUCCCUUUGCCUUUUGGCUUAGAUCAUGUGCAGUGGUCCUCCUUUUUGGCUUAAUCGCCGGGACGUACCUACGGGUACACUUCUAUUGAUUAAAUUGGUUUUUGGAACUCGAAGCCGGGAGCUCUGGGGGCUCCCUAUCCCCUCGGCUUCACAGUGUCGCUCGUAUUGCACUGCCUCGGGCUGAUGCGACCCAUC
rnacentral:snRNA from 1 species